GUGUCAGCAGCCGCGGUAAUACGGGGGGGGCAAGCGUUGUUCGGAAUUACUGGGCGUAAAGGGCGCGUAGGCGGUUGGAUAAGUCAGCUGUGAAAACCACGGGCUUAACUCGUGGCCUGCAGUUGAGACUGUCUGGCUUGAGUGUGGGAGAGGAGAGUGGAAUUCCUGGUGUAGCGGUGAAAUGCGUAGAUAUCAGGAGGAACACCGGUGGCGAAGGCGGCUCUCUGGACCACAACUGACGCUGAGGCGCGAAAGCUAGGGGAGCAAACAGGAUUAGAUACCCCCGUAGUCC
rnacentral:rRNA from 1 species